rnacentral:tRNA from 1 species
GUGCCAUGGUGAAUGGAGUACCGAUGGCGUAAUGGCUCAGGGGCGACGGGUAGAGCGGGUCGCAGCCCUGAUC